AGAGUAGGCGGGAGAAUAAGUUAGGAGUUUAAUAUGUCGGCUUAACCGGCAAUCUGCUUCUAAUACUGUUCUUCUUGAGUAUUGGAGAGGGAGAUGGAAUUCCAGGUGUAGCGGUGGAAUGCGUAGAUAUCUGGAAGAACACCAGCUGCGAAGGCGGUCUCCUGGCCAAAUACUGACGCUGAGGCUCGAAAGCUAGGGGAGCAAACAGGAUUAGAUACCCUGGUAGUCCUAGCCGUAAACGAUGGGCACUAGAUGCUGGAGGAGUCAAUCCUUUCGGUGUCGUAGCUAACGUGUUAAGUGUCCCGCCUGGGGAGUACGCUCGCAAGGGUGAA
rnacentral:rRNA from 1 species